rnacentral:rRNA from 1 species
UACGUAGGGGCUAGCGUUGUCCGGAAUCAUUGGGCGUAAAGAGCGUGUAGGCGGCUUGGUAAGUCCGCUGUGAAAGUCCAGGCUCAACCCUGGAAUGCCAGUGGAAACUGUCAAGCUAGAGUCCGGAAGAGGCGAGUGGAAUUCCUGGUGUAGCGGUGAAAUGCGCAGAUAUCAGGAGGAACACCAGCGGCGAAGGCGGCGCUCUGGGCUGGCACUGACGCUGAGAGCGAAGCGUGGGAGCGAACAGG